rnacentral:sRNA from 1 species
UAACCAGAUGUCAGAUCUGGCUGGUGUUC